rnacentral:tRNA from 1 species
UCCCUGAUAGCUCAGUUGGUAGAGCAAAUGACUGUUAAUCAUUGGGUCCGUGGUUCGAGUCCACGUCAGGGAGCCA